AAUGGUCUUAUAAGCCGUAGGUAGAUGGUUCGAGUCCAUCCAGGCGCA
rnacentral:tRNA from 1 species